UGUGGCUCAAUGGAAGAGCACUUGCCUUGCAUGCAUGAGGUCCUGGGUUCGAUUCCUCAGCA
rnacentral:tRNA from 1 species